CUACUCCCAAAUCCCAUCCUGCCUCCGCCCCAGCAGCACACUGUGGUUUGUUCAGUGUUGUGGCCAAGUCCAAACCACACUGUGGUGUUAGAGUGAGGGUAAGGAAGGCAUCACUGCCACCACCACAGCUUGGACCUGGAGCAGGACACC